AAUUCGACGCAACGCGAAGAACCUUACCAGGCCUUGACAUACUCGGCAAAGCUCUAGAGAUAGAGUGGAGGUUAUCCGGGAUACAGGUGGUGCAUGGUUGUCGUCAGCUCGUGUCGUGAGAUGUUGGGUUAAGUCCCGCAACGAGCGCAACCCUUGUCUUUAGUUACCAUCAUUAAGUUGGGGACUCUAGAGAGACUGCCGGUGAUAAACCGGAGAAGUGGGGAUGACGUCAAAUCAUCAUGCCCCUUAUGGCCUGGGCUACAAACGUAAUACAAUGGCGUAUACAAAGGGAUGCGAAAGGGCGACCUGGAGCAAAACUCACAAAGUACGUCUCAGUUCAGAUUGGAGUCUGCAACUCGACUCCAUGAAGGCGGAAUCGCUAGUAAUCGCGGAUCAGCAUGCCGCGGUGAAUACGUUCUCGGGGUUU
rnacentral:rRNA from 1 species